rnacentral:lncRNA from 1 species
GUUGUGGCAGACCGAAGGGCAAGGGAGGGGUGCGCGACGAAGGGCGAGGUAGGCGAAGACGGUGGCGUACGGGCUGCGCGGCGGGGGACGGCAUGCAAGCGGCGGCGGACGUCUCACGGGACGACCUAGAUUUUUCGUGCCGGGAUGGAAAAGGAAGAACAACACGGGUGGGGACAAGAUAGGCGGUAGGUGAAGGGCCCUCGCAUUCGCGCUACAGUAUCGGCGCGAUGUGGCUCUCGCGGUUGGCCUCCCAGAACAGAGAAGAAGCACAGAAUACCAACCGAGCAACCGUUAGAGUCGAGGAAAUAACAAGUUUGCCACCGCGCGGCUCCAGCUCUGACGCCCGCUACAUGCUGACUCCGAAGCACACACGC